UACAGGGGGCACUAGCGUUGCUCGGAAUCACUGGGCGUAAAGCGUACGCAGGCGGAUGGUUAAGUCGUGGGUGAAAGCCUGGAGCUCAACUCCAGAAGUGCCCUCGAUACUGGUCAUCUUGAGUACGGGAGAGGUGAGUGGAAUUCCUGGUGUAGAGGUGAAAUUCGUAGAUAUCAGGAGGAACACCGGUGGCGAAAGCGGCUCACUGGCCCGAUACUGACGCUCAUGUACGAAAGCGUGGGGAGCAAACAGG
rnacentral:rRNA from 1 species